AGAGUUUGAUCAUGGCUCAGAACGAACGCUGGCGGCGUGCCUAACACAUGCAAGUCGAGCGCGAAUGGAGCAAUCCUAGUAGAGCGGCGCACGGGUGCGUAACACGUGGAUAAUCUGCCUGGGUGUCUGGGAUAACCAGUCGAAAGACUGGCUAAUACCGGAUAAGCCCCCGGGAGCUUCGGCUCUUGAGGGAAAAGGUGGCCUCUGUAUACAAGCUAUCACAUCCAGAUGAGUCCGCGGCCCAUCAGCUAGUUGGCGGGGUAAUGGCCCACCAAGGCAACGACGGGUAGCUGGUCUGAGAGGACGAUCAGCCACACUGGAACUGAGACACGGUCCAGACUCCUACGGGAGGCAGCAGUGGGGAAUUUUGCGCAAUGGGCGAAAGCCUGACGCAGCAACGCCGCGUGUGUGAUGAAGGUCUUCGGAUUGUAAAGCACUUUCGACCGGGACGAAAACCCUCUGGCCAACACCCAGGGGCUUGACGGUACCGGGAGAAGAAGCACCGGCUAACUCUGUGCCAGCAGCCGCGGUAAUACAGAGGGUGCAAGCGUUGUUCGGAAUUAUUGGGCGUAAAGCGCGUGUAGGCGGCUUUGCAAGUCGGGUGUGAAAGCCCUCAGCUCAACUGAGGAAGUGCGCCCGAAACUGCAGAGCUUGAGUGCCGGAGAGGGUGGCGGAAUUCCCCAAGUAGAGGUGAAAUUCGUAGAUAUGGGGAGGAACACCGGUGGCGAAGGCGGCCACCUGGACGGUAACUGACGCUGAGACGCGAAAGCGUGGGGAGCAAACAGGAUUAGAUACCCUAGUAGUCC
rnacentral:rRNA from 1 species